CAUCCCUGCUGUGAGGUGGCGGAGGACUGGAGAAACGUGAGAGGAGCUGGCUCAUGAGAAGAGAGACAGCACUCAAUCCUCUGGAACCAAAUGAGCCCAACCUGUCUCAAAAAGGCAAGGCUGACUUCACUAACUGAAAAGCAAGUGAAAAUUGCUGUGGGCCUGUGUUGCCCGAGACUGCCUCAAGCACAGGACUAUCAUAAGCAAAUGUUUAAAAAGGGAGGAUUUUGGAAGAGAAAAUCAACCAACAAUGGGGUCUGGACAAAGCAGUAUCCUCAAGUUGAUGGGAGCAAAGCGAGGGGCUCCUGUAAGCCUACUGCUCUAGGGGAACCUGACAGAACAGGAAUGAAAGCAACAAUUAACAUCUGUCAACCCUCGCUAUGGAUCAUGCUACACUUACUACUUCAUUUCUGUUAUUUCAUUAAAUACCCAUCACCCCAUAAACCUUAAGAGGCUGCUGUUCUUCUCACUACAUAGAUGAGAAAAGUGAGACCUAGAGAAGUUAUAUACUUAGCUCUAGGUCACACAGAUAAAAAGGUAGCUCUGGAAUCUAAGCCCAGUAUGCUGGGAAAAAAUAAAAGAAAUCCACAAAGUUAACUGCUUGUGGUCUUUCUUCAGAGGAGGUUUCCAGGUUACUGAUUAUUCA
rnacentral:lncRNA from 1 species